UACGGGGGGGGCAAGCGUUGUUCGGAAUUAUUGGGCGUAAAGGGCUCGUAGGCGGCCAACUAAGUCGGAUGUGAAAUCCCCAGGCUUAACCUGGGAACUGCAUCCGAUACUGGAUGGCUUGAAUUCGGGAGAGGGAUGCAGAAUUCCAGGUGUAGCGGUGAAAUGCGUAGAUAUCUGGAGGAAUACCGGUGGCGAAGGCGGCAUCCUGGACCGAGAUUGACGCUGAUGAGCGAAAGCUAGGGGAGCAAACGGG
rnacentral:rRNA from 1 species